GACGAACGCUGGCGGCGUGCUUAACACAUGCAAGUCGAACGGAAAGGCCCUGCUUUUGUGGGGUGCUCGAGUGGCGAACGGGUGAGUAACACGUGAGUAACCUGCCCUUGACUUUGGGAUAACUUCAGGAAACUGGGGCUAAUACCGGAUAGGAGCUCCUGCUGCAUGGUGGGGGUUGGAAAGCUUCGGCGGUUGGGGAUGGACUCGCGGCUUAUCAGCUUGUUGGUGGGGUAGUGGCUUACCAAGGCUUUGACGGGUAGCCGGCCUGAGAGGGUGACCGGCCACAUUGGGACUGAGAUACGGCCCAGACUCCUACGGGAGGCAGCAGUGGGGAAUAUUGCACAAUGGGCGGAAGCCUGAUGCAGCAACGCCGCGUGCGGGAUGACGGCCUUCGGGUUGUAAACCGCUUUCGCCUGUGACGAAGCGUGAGUGACGGUAAUGGGUAAAGAAGCACCGGCUAACUACGUGCCAGCAGCCGCGGUGAUACGUAGGGUGCGAGCGUUGUCCGGAUUUAUUGGGCGUAAAGGGCUCGUAGGUGGUUGAUCGCGUCGGAAGUGUAAUCUUGGGGCUUAACCCUGAGCGUGCUUUCGAUACGGGUUGACUUGAGGAAGGUAGGGGAGAAUGGAAUUCCUGGUGGAGCGGUGGAAUGCGCAGAUAUCAGGAGGAACACCAGUGGCGAAGGCGGUUCUCUGGGCCUUUCCUGACGCUGAGGAGCGAAAGCGUGGGGAGCGAACAGGCUUAGAUACCCUGGUAGUCCACGCUGUAAACGGUGGGUACUAGGUGUGGGGUCCAUUCCACGGGUUCCGUGCCGUAGCUAACGCUUUAAGUACCCCGCCUGGGGAGUACGGCCGCAAGGCUAAAACUCAAAGGAAUUGACGGGGCCCCGCACAAGCGGCGGAGCAUGCGGAUUAAUUCGAUGCAACGCGUAGAACCUUACCUGGGUUUGACAUGGAUCGGGAGUGCUCAGAGAUGGGUGUGCCUCUUUUGGGGUCGGUUCACAGGUGGUGCAUGGCUGUCGUCAGCUCGUGUCGUGAGAUGUUGGGUUAAGUCCCGCAACGAGCGCAACCCUUGUUCACUGUUGCCAGCACGUUAUGGUGGGGACUCAGUGGAGACCGCCGGGGUCAACUCGGAGGAAGGUGGGGAUGACGUCAAGUCAUCAUGCCCCUUAUGUCCAGGGCUUCACGCAUGCUACAAUGGCUGGUACAGAGAGUGGCGAGCCUGUGAGGGUGAGCGAAUCUCGGAAAGCCGGUCUCAGCUCGGAUUGGGGUCUGCAACUCGACCUCAUGAAGUCGGAGUCGCUAGUAAUCGCAGAUCAGCAACGCUGCGGUGAAUACGUUCCCGGG
rnacentral:rRNA from 1 species